CUUUCCUUGCUGGCGACCGGCGCACGGGUGAGUAACACGUAUCCAACCUGCCCUUUACUCGGGGAUAGCCUUUCGAAAGAAAGAUUAAUACCCGAUAGCAUAAUGAUUCCGCAUGGUUUCAUUAUUAAAGGAUUCCGGUAAAGGAUGGGGAUGCGUUCCAUUAGGUUGUUGGUGGGGUAACGGCCCACCAAGCCUUCGAUGGAUGGGGGUUCUGAGAGGAAGGUCCCCCACAUUGGAACUGAGACACGGUCCAA
rnacentral:rRNA from 1 species